UACGUAGGUGGCAAGCGUUGUCCGGAUUUACUGGGCGUAAAGAGCGCGCAGGCGGUCGUGCAAGUCGCGUGUGAAAGCCCCCGGCUCAACUGGGGAGGGUCACGCGAUACUGCUCGACUCGAAGGCAGGAGAGGGAAGUGGAAUUCCCGGUGUAGUGGUGAAAUGCGUAGAGAUCGGGAGGAACACCUGUGGCGAAGGCGGCCGACUGGGCCGACCCUGAC
rnacentral:rRNA from 1 species